rnacentral:tRNA from 1 species
UGGCUCAGUUGGUAAAGCAUCUGCCUGCAGUGCAGGAGACCCAGGUUUGAUCCCUGG